rnacentral:rRNA from 1 species
AGUAAUACAUAAGUAACCUGCCCUAGACAGGGGGAUAACUAUUGGAAACGAUAGCUAAGACCGCAUAGGUACGGACACUGCAUGGUGACCGUAUUAAAAGUGCCUCAAAGCACUGGUAGAGGAUGGACUUGUGGCGCAUUAGCUGGUUGGCGGGGUAACGGCCCACCAAGGCGACGAUGCGUAGCCGACCUGAGAGGGUGACCGGCCACACUGGGACUGAGACACGGCCCAG